UACGUAGGGUGCGAGCGUUAAUCGGAAUUACUGGGCGUAAAGCGUGCGCAGGCGGCUAUGCAAGACAGGUGUGAAAUCCCCGGGCUUAACCUGGGAACUGCACUUGUGACUGCAUGGCUAGAGUGCGUCAGAGGGAGGUGGAAUUCCGCGUGUAGCAGUGAAAUGCGUAGAGAUGCGGAGGAACACCGAUGGCGAAGGCA
rnacentral:rRNA from 1 species